rnacentral:ncRNA from 1 species
AAAUAUCUGAAGAUUAGGAAAGUAAAUUUGGAUACUUUAAAGAGAGACUCUGCUUGGUGAAAAGAGUUAAGUUUUGAAGAGUUGAAAAUGACCUAGGAGGAUAGCGUGUCGAUAAGUAGGCAUGCUCGGAAGUUCUACCGUUAAAAAGAACACCGAUCUUUCAUACAUUGGGAAUGUCGGAGUGAGGGAAGGUUUAACUUCUAAACAAAAGGUGGUAACACGAGUAUUCGUCCUUUUA